rnacentral:rRNA from 1 species
GGGGAAUAUUGGACAAUGGGCGCAAGCCUGAUCCAGCAAUGCCGCGUGUGUGAAGAAGGCCUUCGGGUUGUAAAGCACUUUAAGUNGGGAGGAAAAGCUUGGGGUUAAUAG